rnacentral:rRNA from 1 species
ACGGGUGAGUAACGCGUAGGAACUUGCCUUUAAGAGGGGGAUAACCAGAGGAAACUUUGGCUAAUACCGCAUAGACUCGAGAGAGGAAAGCUGCCUGUAGAGGUGGCGCUUAGAGAGAGGCCUGCGUCCGAUUAGCUAGUUGGUGGGGUAAAGGCUUACCAAGGCGAUGAUCGGUAACUGGUCUGAGAGGACGACCAGUCACACUGGGACUGAGACACGGCCCAGACUCCUACGGGAGGCAGCAGUGGGGAAUAUUGGACAAUGGGGGGAACCCUGAUCCAGCGAUGCCGCGUGAGUGAAGAAGGCCUUCGGGUCGUAAAGCUCUUUAGGUUAGGAAGAAGGUUACGAGGUGAAUAGCCUUGUAAUUUGACGGUACUGACAGAAUAAGCACCGGCAAACUCUGUGCCAGCAGCCGCGGUAAUACAGAGGGUGCGAGCGUUAAUCGGAAUUACUGGGCGUAAAGGGCGCGUAGGCGGUGGGAUGUGUGUGAUGUGAAAGCCCUGGGCUUAACCUAGGAAGUGCAUCGCAAACUAUUCUGCUGGAGUAUAUGAGAGGGUGGCGGAAUUUCCGGUGU